rnacentral:rRNA from 1 species
CGCAAGCCUGACGGAGCAAGACCGCGUGGGGGAGGAAAGCCUUUGGGUUGUAAACCCCUUUUCUCAGGGAAGAAGAAAGUGACGGUACCUGAGGAAUCAGCCUCGGCUAACUCCGUGCCAGCAGCCGCGGUAAUACGGAGGAGGCAAGCGUUAUCCGGAAUGAUUGGGCGUAAAGCGUUCGUAGGUGGCAAUUCAAGUCUGCUGUCAAAGACAGUAGCUCAACUACUGCAAGGCAGUGGAAACUGAAUAGCUAGAGUGCGGUAGGGGCAGAGGGAAUUCCCGGUGUAGCGGUGAAAUGCGUAGAGAUCGGGAAGAACACCGGUGGCGAAAGCGCUCUGCUGGGCCGCAACUGACACUGAGGGACGAAAGCUAGGGGAGCGAAUGGGAUUAGAUACCCCAGUAGUCCUAGCUGUAAAC